rnacentral:rRNA from 1 species
CAGAGGGUGCAAGCGUUAAUCGGGAUUACUGGGCGUAAAGGGUGCGUAGGUGGUUAAUUAAGUCAGAUGUGAAAUCCCAAGGCUUAACCUUGGAAUGGCAUUUGAUACUGGUUGGCUAGAGUACAGAAGAGGGAAGUGGAAUUUCCGGUGUAGCGGUGAAAUGCGUAGAUAUCGGAAGGAACAUCAGUGGCGAAGGCGACUUCCUGGUCUGUUACUGACACUGAGGCACGAAAGCGUGGGGAGCGAACAGGAUUAGAUACCCUGGUAGUCCACGCCGUAAACUAUGAGAACUAGAUGUUAGGGGACUUAGAUCUCUUAGUAUCGCAGCAAACGCGUUAAGUUCUCCGCCUGGGGAGUACGGCCGCAAGGUUA